rnacentral:rRNA from 1 species
CUCGCAAAUGACAAUCAUAUAUACAUCCAAGCAAACACUCAGUGGGAAGACACAGAAAAGAACAUCAUGCAUCGGCCGGCUCGCGGCCGGCUGAUCUUUUGAAAAGAUCAGAUAGAAUGAGCGCAAACAAUGAUCAAACUGACAUCCGUAUGGACCGUAUCGUCAUGAACAACCAUACAUAAAUUUCGUCACCCGUAAAUGACUAUCAUAUUUACAUGCAAGCAAACACGAAAUACCUGUAGACACUCAUACCUCGUCCGGACCAAGAACGAUGAAGCCGGCCGAAAGAGCAGACCUCUCGAACCUAUUAUUCUCGUAGUGCAAACACGUAGCACGAAGACGACGCUGAUCGACACUGGACGCCUCCGUUCAUGAUAUACCAUAACUAGCUACGAAAGCAGGGCAUGCGUGCAUGCAUAUACUACCUAGCCCACGUAACCGACCGACCGACGAAUUACGGCGGACCCGUAGUAUUGUACGGCCCAUCGCCCUGGUGACCAUGACCGGGGCCAGGGCUAUGACCGGGAGUCGUCUCCUUGUCCAUGGGCUCGACGGCGGGGAAGCUGCUGACGCCGUCGCUUCCCUCGGAAGCCCUCUCCGGAGCCGUGGUUGCCACUCCGCCCCUCGCGCAGUGAACUACCCCCGGCAUGGAGAUGGAGUGCGCGACCAGGAGGAGGGCGAUGGCCAUGGCGGCAAAGGUCGAAGCAGACGAUGAUUUGUUGGCCAUAUUGAACUUGGCAAGACUAGUCGCUACUAGGUUAUUGGUAUGAGCGUGAGUCGAGUGUUGAGAGGGUGGAGGCGUUCAUUUGGUGCCUUAUAUAGACGUCUGGUGAAGUGGUGAUUACGGAAGCUUAUUGAUUUUUGUUAGUGACGAUGCAAAAGUGUUAGCACAUGCAUGCAAGCACACGAUGCUUCUUUUCAUGAGAUGAUAAAC